GAGAAUCUUUGUCUGUUGUUAGAAAAGGCCGAGAGCCGGAGUGAAAUUAGAGUCAAUGAGGCAUUUUUCUUUUGACCCAAUAAGGUGCGCAGUCAAUCUGUUUGAAAUUUUGUGAUAUAAUCUUAAUUCUCUUUGCCUGCGAUCGAAUGCCAUUGACAUUUCAUGACACAAAAGUGUGACAUAUACAGGGUGCGUGUAUAGUAAUUUUAAAUGGAUUGUGCACGAUGUAUUCUUUAUUGUUGUUUUUUUGACAGUUUUUGGGAAUUUUUUUUGUAGUGUGUUGACAAAUGUUAAAGAGGGUGAUAAAGAUGCUAUAUUUUUAUAUACAGUUACAUAGAAGGGCAGUAGCAAGGGGAUAAUAUGGUGUGUGGUGGUUAUUUGUAGUGAGCAACUUGUGUUUUUCGUGUUUGUGGAAACAAGCAGAGCAGAAAAGCAAACAGCCAGGAGUGACAAUUCAUGCUGGUGCCAUUUUUUUAAAUUAUUUUUUUGGUCUAAGCAAAAGUGGAAGGAAUGAAACAAAAUCCAAUACACUUUUUUUGACAAUUCAUAACGACAACAGAUCCAAAGAAGUGCUUCUCUAGAAGAGCCCGGGCGUGGCAUCGGCAUCACGAAACAGUUGUCCGUCAACUCAUAGCUUGACAACUAGCCACGCUUGUUUGCCUUUCUUACGGCGGUGGUACAAGAUUUUACGACUCACGUUGAUUUCCUUGGGGAACUGGUCGUUCAUUCCAAACAAAGUCCCUUUGAGCUCACGACCUUUUGAUUUCCCGAACACUUUCUGCUGAAAGUGUUCAAACUUUGUAAUGAUGGGACGUUUCCUGGACGAAGGCCUCCCAAUCGAUGAACACGGUGAAAGGUAAUCUUGUCGACUGUAUCUUGAGCGCGGACGUCAUCCUGUUCAAUGCAAAAGUGUGGUUUGAUUAUUUUUUUUUCACAAUGAUUAUUAUUUAUUUAUUUAUUUUUCUAACUAGGCAGCUGAAAAUGAAGUCCUAAACCGGGAGGUCACGACAGAGACCCUUACCAUUAACCAGUGCAGAACUCUACAUCUUUCUGAAUGUUUUAUUUACUCCUUAAGAGAAAUGACAUACAACAGGUCUUUGUUAUACAGGCCUUUCCACCAACUGCUAAUUACUCAAAAAAGAAAAGACAACAGAAACUUUAGGUCACUGAUGCAAAAGCAUCAGACUCCAGCUUCCAUUGUUUGGCAUGGAACAAUAUGUUUGUUCCAGGGGGCAACUGGAACAACCAAGUAUGUACAGCAUAAAUGAAAAGCUAAAUUGUAUUUUCUUGACACAAAACACAGCGGAUUAUCUGACAAAGGCACCUCACUUGGAAUUACACAGUAACAUACUCUCAGACAUGAAAAACAUCCCAAUCAACGUAGCAUUGAGCGCACGUGUUGGACGAGCCGACCCCUCCCUGUCCACGCCCACAUUUACAUAUGCAAAUCAUAUUUAAAUGAACCCUGCACCUGAGAUCCCAAUCUCUGCAUGAGCAAUGUAAUGAAGAAAGAUAUUUUUUUCUGAAUGUGAAGUUGCUCAAUGAAGUGGAGGUGCGCAAGAAAAUCCUCUUUGGCACGCUCUCCUCCGGCGUAAACAACAAGCGAAAGAAGAGGGAAUGGGACAGCGUGUGUGCGGCUGUCAAUGCUGUGGGGUCAGAACAGCGCACACACGCUGAACUAAAAAUAGAAGUGGUCAGACAUUAAGGUGGAUGGGAAGCGGAGGACAGGUGCCCACCGCCAAAGUGUGGCCAAAACAGGCGGAAGAAACAGCCCGGAGGGCCUCACCCCGUUCGAGGGGAGAGUCGCCGCGAUCAUGGGUGACACUCCUCACUCAGGGGUGGUGGGAGCACAUGUGGCUGACUAUGAUCACCCCACAAGAGGAUGAAUUCAAGGAGUGGUCUGCGUUUGAUAUUGAAGCGGCGAGCUCAGAGAUCCGUUUUGAGUGCGGAACAGCAGAUGUAUAAUCAACAUAACGACAUCGCGAGGUGGUGAGCUGGCUACACAAGUACUGCAUGUGGUUUGGUUGACAGCAUUGAUGUACUUGGAAUGGUAUGAUUUUAAAGAUUACACAUCCAGUGUAACAUUUUUAGAUAUUUCCAAAAAUCUUAUUGAUAAGCCACAACACGCCUUUGUAGUUGUGACAGGUAUAAAAAGUAAAUGAUUUAAUUUUUUUGUAUAAAGUAAACUAGGGGUGUCCAAACUAUGGCCCAAGGGUCUUUUGCAGCCGUAGCCAUCAGUUUCUGCCUUGAUUGGCUGUUAGCAUAAUGUUAUAUUCCUCUGAAACCGCAAUGGUUUCUUAACAAAUUAGACCUACAGCCUUUGACCGUACUUCAGUGAAAAAAAUAUUUAGUAGUCCUUAGUAUAUUAAACACUCUGCACUCCCUGUUGAUUUUUGUUUUAUUUGGCCCACUCAUGGUUGAAGAAGGGUUCAGAGCGAUAGAACAGCCGACGUCAAGUCAAUGUAUCACUGUACCUACUGCGCUUCCUGGUGGAACUACUGGGCAUUACAGGACAACCCGAUGGAACCACUGGGCAUUAUAGCACAACCUGGUGGAACCACUUGGCAUUACAGGACAAGGUCAAAUGAAUGUAGUCAUGAUUUUGAUAUGAUUUGGGCGAUUUUGUACCAAUCUUUGGCGGGCCGGAUUGAAAUGAUCAGUGGGCCGGAUGUGGCCCGCGGGCCGUAGUUCGCCCACCCCUGGCCUAGUUAAUAACGGUCGGCGGUCUGGCUCAUCGGCGUUGUGGCCUGUCCAACGCGCCAUGGCCGUGCCCCACGGAGGCCCUCACAACGAAAACACUUCAGGGAGCGAGAACUGUUUAUUACGUGCACUAGCUCACAAACGAAUGGGCUAACCGGCUAGCAAGCUAACGAGGCAGCGAGCUUCAUUGUAUGGCAUUUAUUUAUCUUAUCAUGUGAAUAAUGUUUCCCACUUGGCAUCCAUUGCAGCCUUUUCAAACUGAAAGGGGAUCCUUUUGGGCGUUCUCUGACUUUGGAAAUGAGGCAGGAAUUUUCCCUCUGAAAAGUAUUUUCACAAGUGUGUAAUGAAUCUACAUAAUGUAUGGGUACUGAAAUAAAUGAACUUUUCUACCAUAUUCAAAUGUAUUGAGAUGUCCCUGUAUGCGGCAACAUUAAAUAAAUAAAUAUGGAAAUAAAUGGAUAAAUAUUGUAAUGAAUGAAUGAAUAAAUAUUGAAAUAAAUGUUAUGUUAUUAUGUUA